rnacentral:ncRNA from 1 species
CGAGCGGGAGAGUGCGGUGGCCCACGCCAGGGUCACAGCCGCCGAAGGAGCAAUAGCCCCGACAAACUCUCAGGCGCCGGUACCGCCC